UGAGGAAUAUUGCGCAAUGGGGGCAACCCUGACGCAGCAACGCCGCGUGAGUGAGGAAGGUUUUCGGACCGUAAAGCUCUGUCGAGCGGGAAGAAAUGCAUAGUGGCUAAUAUCCAUUAUGCUUGACGGUACCGCUAAAGGAAGCACCGGCUAACUCCGUGCCAGCAGCCGCGGUAAUACGGGGGGUGCUAGCGUUGUUCGGAAUCAUUGGGCGUAAAGAGCGUGUAGGCGGCUGGAUAAGUCAGAUGCGAAAGCCCUGGGCUUAACCUAGGAAGUGCAUUUGAAACUGUUCAGCUUGAGUAAGGGAGAGGAAAGUGGAAUUCCUGGUGUAGAGGUGAAAUUCGUAGAUAUCAGGAGGAACACCGGUGGCGAAGGCGACUUUCUGGCCCUAUACUGACGCUGAGACGCGAGAGCGUGGGUAGCAAACA
rnacentral:rRNA from 1 species